rnacentral:rRNA from 1 species
UACGAAGGGGGCGAGCGUUGUUCGGAUUUACUGGGCGUAAAGGGCGCGCAGGCGGCCGCUCAAGUCAGGCGUGAAAGCCCCGGGCUUAACCUGGGAACUGCGUCUGGGACUGAGAGGCUAGAGUUCGGGAGAGGAGAGUGGAAUUCCCAGUGUAGAGGUGAAAUUCGUAGAUAUUGGGAAGAACACCGGUGGCGAAGGCGGCUCUCUGGACCGAGACUGACGCUGAGGCGCGAAAGCGUGGGGAGCAAACAGG